rnacentral:RNase_P_RNA from 1 species
AGCUGCGGGAAAUUGCCGAAAGGCGUUUUGCGAGGAAAGUCCGGGCUUCACAGAGCAAAAAUAACGGCUAACGGCCGCCGGAGGCGACUCCAGGGAUAGUGCAACAGAAAAUUACCGCCGCAUUUUGCGGUAAGGAUGGAAAGGUGAGGUAAGAGCUCACCGGAGAUAACGAGAGUUAUCUGCCGUGUAAACCCUAUUUGAAGCAACACCGUGGUAGGACAUUAUACGCUUGCUCGGCGUGUCCUUAGGAGGUGGCAUUGAGCAGUUCCGGCAACGGGCUGCCAAGAUAGAUGGCUGUUCACGACAGAACCCGGCUUACAGAUA